UACGAAGGGGGCUAGCGUUGUUCGGAAUUACUGGGCGUAAAGCGCACGUAGGCGGGUUGUUAAGUCAGGGGUGAAAUCCUGGAGCUCAACUCCAGAACUGCCUUUGAUACUGGCAACCUAGAGUCUGGAAGAGGUUAGUGGAAUUCCCAGUGUAGAGGUGAAAUUCGUAGAUAUUGGGAAGAACACCAGUGGCGAAGGCGGCUAACUGGUCCAGCACUGACGCUGAGGUGCGAAAGCGUGGGGAGCAAACAGG
rnacentral:rRNA from 1 species